CCUACGGGAGGCAGCAGUGAGGAAUAUUGGUCAAUGGACGAGAGCCUGAACCAGCCACGUAGCGUGAAGGAUGACUGCCCUAUGGGUUGUAAACUUCUUUUAUAUGGGAAUAAAAUGUUCCACGUGUGGGAUUUUGUAUGUACCAUAUGAAUAAGGAUCGGCUAACUCCGUGCCAGCAGCCGCGGUAAUACGGAGGAUCCGAGCGUUAUCCGGAUUUAUUGGGUUUAAAGGGAGCGUAGGUGGAUUGUUAAGUCAGUUGUGAAAGUUAGUGGCUCAACCGUAACAUUGCAGUUGAAACUGGCAGGCUUGAGUACAGGAGAGGUGGGCGGAAUGCGUGGUGCAGCGGUGAAAUGCUUAGAUAUCACGAAGAACUCCGAUUGCGAAGGCAGCUCACUGGACUGCAACUGACACUGAGGCUCGAAAGUGUGGGUAUCAAACAGGAUUAGAUACCCGAGUAGUC
rnacentral:rRNA from 1 species